GGAAUAGAACCGGUUAACAUACGCAGAGACCCUUUCUUCACCCAGUAACUGGACGACACACAGUUCCAGGGGGUACACCAACAACUUUAUUGGCCACACUCGGCUUUAUACUUUUCCCCACUUUUCCCCACACAAGGACAUUGUCCCCUCCCAGGAUCCUUCCCCUCCCAGGGUUCCCAGCGCGGGACCAGAGCUCUGGUCCCUUUGUCCCUUGUUUCC